UAAAUUUCUAAAACUUCAAUUAGGGAUUUGAUUGCAAUUUUCCCAAAUAACAUUACACCUGCUCUCUCGUUCCUUUCUUCAGCAAAAACAGUCGCCAAACCCUAUCUUCUUCAUCUCCUCUCCCUCUAGAAACCCUAAUUGUGGAACACUCAGCACACGAUUUAAGAUGAACUCGUACGGAUUUCUCGAAUCGGAGUACCAUGGCAUCUCGAGUUUCAGCUGGAUUUCAUGAUUUGCUGUCACAGAAUCAAGCUCUGAAUACUCGCUCACGUCUUAAUCGCAUAAGAUUAUUCGCUAGUUAAUGGAGGGCUCUUCGACGGCGUCUUUGGCCGCGACGCCACCACGCGCCGCCUCAUGCUUUCCACCGGAACGGAUUCGGGUGUGCCGGGCGAUCUGAUUAACACAGUGGAUCCAGUUUUUGUGGGAAGCUAUACAAAAUACUCACGAUCCCCUUUUCUGAUGACGUAUGGUAUCUCACGUGAGAAUUGACGUGUUGUGUGUGGGGUCUCGUUACGCGGAGAAUGGUGCGGCUCGAGGGGUAAAACUGGCAAAUCUGAUAAUUCCAACUAGCGAUGAGCUGUCAAAUUGGGGAAGUGGACACGUGUCUGCAGCUGAAGCUCGUGGGGGCCCACCUUGGUGGACUGGCUCUUACCGACACCCGGCAGUAGCAGAGCAGCAGACACUGCGCCCCACGCAACUUGAAUUAUGCAAUUUCCCAUUUUUCUUAUAUAUAUAUAUUUUUUUUUCUUUUUUGGAUUAUUAA